AGUCGAACGGCAGCACAGUAAGAGCUUGCUCAUAUGGGUGGCGAGUGGCGGACGGGUGAGGAAUACAUCGGAAUCUACUCUGUCGUGGGGGAUAACGUAGAGAAACUUACGCUAAUACCGCAUACGACCUACGGGUGAAAGCGGAGGACCUUCGGUCUUCGCGCGAUUGUAUGAGCCGAUGUCGGAUUAGCUGGUUGGCGGGGUAAAGGCCCACCAAGGCGACGAUCUGUAGCUGGUCUGAGAUUAUGAUCAGCCACACUGGAACUGAGACGCGGUCCAGACUCCUACGGGAGGCAGCAGUGGUGAAUAUUGGACAAUGGACGCAAGCCUGAUCCAGCCAUGCCGCGUGCGUGAAGAAGGCCUUCGUGUUGUAAAGCCCUUGGUGUUGGGAUAGAAAAGCAGUCGGUUAAUACCCGAUUGUUCUGACGGUACCAAAAGAAUAAGCACCGGCUAACUUCGUGCCAGCAGCCGCGGUAAUACGAAGUGUGCAAGCGUUACUCGAAAUUACUGGGCGUAAAGCGUGCGUAGGUGCUGGUUUAAGUCUGUUGUGACAGCCCUGGGCUCAACCUGGGAAUUGCAGUGCAUACUGGGUCACUAGAGUGUGGUAGAGGGUAGCGGAAUUCCCGGUGUAGCAGUGAAAUGCGUAGAGAUCGGGAGGAACAUCCGUGGCGAAGGCGGCUACCUGGACCAACACUGACACUGAGCCACGAAUGCGUGGGGAGCAAACAGGAUUAGAUACCCUGGUAGUCCACGCCCUAAACGAUGCGAACUGGAUGUUGGGUGCAAGUUGGCACGCAGUAUCGAAGCUAACGCGUUAAGUUCGCCGCCUGGGGAGUACGGUCGCAAGUCUGAAACUCAAAGGAAUUGACGGUUGCCCGCACAAGCGGUGGAGUAUGUGGUAUAAUUCGAUGCAACGCGAAGAACCUUACCUGGUCUUGACAUCCACGGAACUUUCCAGAGAUGGAUUGGUGCCUUCGUGAACCGUGAGACAGGUGCUGCAUGGGCUGUCGUCAGCUCGUGUCGUGAGAGUUGGGUUAAGUCCCGCAACGAGCGCAACCCUUGUCCUUAGUUGCCAGCACGUAAUGGUGUGAACUCUAAGUAGACCGCCGGUGACAAACCGGAGUAAGGUGGGGAUGACGUCAAGUCAUCAUGGUGCUUACGACCAGGGCUACACACGUACUACAAUGGUAGGGACAGAGGGCUGCAAAUUCGCGAGGGUAAGCCAAUCCCAGAAAGGCUAUCUCAGUCCGGAUUGGAGUCUGCAACUCGACUCCAUGAAGUCGGAAUCGCUAGUAAUCGCAGAUCAGCAUUGCUGCGGUGAAUACGUUCUGGGGCCUUGUACACACCGCCGGUCACACCAUGGGAGUUUGUUGCACCAGAAGCAGGUAGCUUAACCUUCGGAGGCGCUUGCCACGGUGUGGCCGAUGACUGGGGUGAAGU
rnacentral:rRNA from 1 species